rnacentral:siRNA from 1 species
GAUAACUACAGUUGAUUUAAGGGA